GAUGAACGCUGGCGGCGUGCCUAAUACAUGCAAGUCGAGCGAACAGACGAGGAGCUUGCUCCUCUGACGUUAGCGGCGGACGGGUGAGUAACACGUGGAUAACCUACCUAUAAGACUGGGAUAACUUCGGGAAACCGGAGCUAAUACCGGAUAAUAUAUUGAACCGCAUGGUUCAAUAGUGAAAGACGGUUUUGCUGUCACUUAUAGAUGGAUCCGCGCCGCAUUAGCUAGUUGGUAAGGUAACGGCUUACCAAGGCAACGAUGCGUAGCCGACCUGAGAGGGUGAUCGGCCACACUGGAACUGAGACACGGUCCAGACUCCUACGGGAGGCAGCAGUAAGGAAUCUUCCGCAAUGGGCGAAAGCCUGACGGAGCAACGCCGCGUGAGUGAUGAAGGUCUUCGGAUCGUAAAACUCUGUUAUUAGGGAAGAACAAAUGUGUAAGUAACUAUGCACGUCUUGACGGUACCUAAGCAGAAAGCCACGGCUAACUACGU
rnacentral:rRNA from 1 species